rnacentral:misc_RNA from 1 species
UCGAAUUGUCAACAUGAGUUGUUGCUGGCCCUUCAAACAGGGGCAUGUGCACGCUCUGUUUACACAUCCACCCACCCCUGUGCACCAUUUGUAGUCCUAUGGUUCGGAGGCUCUGCUUCCCUUCUGUGGUUCUACGUCUUUACACACACAUGUCAAAGAAGUCUCGUGGAAUGUAUGUCGCGUUUAACGCAAUACAAUA